UACGUAGGGGGCAAGCGUUGUCCGGAUUUAUUGGGCGUAAAGAGCGUGUAGGCGGCCAUGUAGGUCCGUUGUGAAAACUCGAGGCUCAACCUCGAGACGCCGAUGGAAACCAUGUGGCUAGAGUCCGGAAGAGGAGAGUGGAAUUCCUGGUGUAGCGGUGAAAUGCGCAGAUAUCAGGAGGAACACCGGUGGCGAAGGCGGUUCUCUGGGCAUGUCCUGACGCUGAGGAGCGAAAGUGUGGGGAGCGAACAGG
rnacentral:rRNA from 1 species